GUGGGGAAUCUUGCGCAAUGGGCGAAAGCCUGACGCAGCCAUGCCGCGUGGAUGAUGAAGGUCUUAGGAUUGUAAAAUCCUUUCACCGGUGAAGAUAAUGACUGUAGCCGGAGAAGAAGCCCCGGCUAACUUCGUGCCAGCAGCCGCGGUAAUACGAAGGGGGCUAGCGUUGCUCGGAUUUACUGGGCGUAAAGGGCGCGUAGGCGGACAUUUAAGUCAGGGGUGAAAUCCCGGGGCUCAACCUCGGAACUGCCUUUGAUACUGGGUGUCUUGAGUAUGAGAGAGGUGUGUGGAACUCCGAGUGUAGAGGUGAAAUUCGGAGAUAUUCGGAAGAACACCAGUGGCGAAGGCGACACACUGGCUCAUUACUGACGCUGAGGCGCGAAAGCGUGGGGAGCAAACAGGAUUAGAUACCCUUGUAGUCC
rnacentral:rRNA from 1 species